rnacentral:rRNA from 1 species
AUUGAACGCUGGCGGCAUGCCUUACACAUGCAAGUCGAACGGCAGCGCGGAAAGGGGUAACCCGGCCUGGCGGCGAGUGGCGAACGGGUGAGUAAUAUAUCGGAACGUACCCUGGAGUGGGGGAUAACGUAGCGAAAGUUACGCUAAUACCGCAUACGAUCUAAGGAUGAAAGCAGGGGAUUCGCAAGAACCUUGUGCUCCUGGAGCGGCCGAUAUCUGAUUAGCUAGUUGGUGGGGUAAAGGCCUACCAAGGCAUCGAUCAGUAGCUGGUCUGAGAGGACGACCAGCCACACUGGAACUGAGACGCGGUCCAGACUCCUACGGGAGGCAGCAGUGGGGAAUUUUGGACAAUGGGCGCAAGCCUGAUCCAGCAAUGCCGCGUGAGUGAAGAAGGCCUUCGGGUUGUAAAGCUCUUUUGUCAGGGAAGAAACGGUGAAGGCUAAUAUCUUUUGCUAAUGACGGUACCUGAAGAAUAAGCACCGGCUAACUACGUGCCAGCAGCCGCGGUAAUACGUAGGGUGCAAGCGUUAAUCGGAAUUACUGGGCGUAAAGCGUGCGCAGGCGGUUUUGUAAGUCUGUCGUGAAAUCCCCGGGCUCAACCUGGGAAUUGCGAUGGAGACUGCAAGGCUAGAAUCUGGCAGAGGGGGGUAGAAUUCCACGUGUAGCAGUGAAAUGCGUAGAGAUGUGGAGGAACACCGAUGGCGAAGGCAGCCCCCUGGGUCAAGAUUGACGCUCAUGCACGAAAGCGUGGGGAGCAAACAGGAUUAGAUACCCUGGUAGUCCACGCCCUAAACGAUGUCUACUAGUUGUCGGGUUUUAAUUAACUUGGUAACGCAGCUAACGCGUGAAGUAGACCGCCUGGGGAGUACGGUCGCAAGAUUAAAACUCAAAGGAAUUGACGGGGACCCGCACAAGCGGUGGAUGAUGUGGAUUAAUUCGAUGCAACGCGAAAAACCUUACCUACCCUUGACAUGUACGGAAGCUUAGAGAGAUCUGAGUGUGCUCGAAAGAGAGCCGUAACACAGGUGCUGCAUGGCUGUCGUCAGCUCGUGUCGUGAGAUGUUGGGUUAAGUCCCGCAACGAGCGCAACCCUUGUCAUUAGUUGCUACGAAAGAGCACUCUAAUGAGACUGCCGGUGACAAACCGGAGGAAGGUGGGGAUGACGUCAAGUCCUCAUGGCCCUUAUGGGUAGGGCUUCACACGUCAUACAAUGGUACAUACAGAGGGCCGCCAACCCGCGAGGGGGAGCUAAUCCCAGAAAGUGUAUCGUAGCCCGGAUUGUAGUCUGCAACUCGACUACAUGAAGUUGGAAUCGCUAGUAAUCGCGGAUCAGCAUGUCGCGGUGAAUACGUUCCCGGGUCUCACACCGCCC